rnacentral:rRNA from 1 species
GGGGGGCGAGCGUUGUUCGGAAUUACUGGGCGUAAAGGGCUCGUAGGCGGCCGCUAAGUCAGACGUGAAAUCCCUCGGCUCAACCGGGGAACUGCGUCUGAUACUGAGCGGCUUGAAUCCGGGAGAGGGACGUGGAAUUCCAGGUGUAGCGGUGAAAUGCGUAGAUAUCUGGAGGAACACCGGUGGCGAAGGCGGCGUCCUGGACCGGUAUUGACGCUGAGGAGCGAAAGCCAGGGGAGCAAACGGGAUUAGAUACCCCGGUAGUCCUGGCCCUAAACGAUGAGUGCUUGGUGUGGCGGGUAUCGAUCCCCGCCGUGCCGAAGCUAACGCGUUAAGCACUCCGCCUGGGGAGUACGGUCGCAAGGCUG